rnacentral:lncRNA from 1 species
CCAUUGCAUCGCAUGUACUCAUUGAUGAAACCUAACAUUAGCAGUACAAUUAUUUACCAACUGUAAACUGCAGUAUUUUAAUUUCCAAAGGUGCGAAAAGAAAUUACAUGACAUUAUAAAAAGAUAAAUUUUACGAUGCAAAAUAAAUUCUAAUAUUGAGAAUAAAAAUCCACAUUAUACCAUUCAAAUUCAAUCACGGUGGAAGCGUGAAAGAAUGAGAAUGAGGGGGAGUACGAAUUUACCAGUAAAAGGGCCAAAGAGUGUAAUCAAGAUCGAAGACAACAAGGCGAGGAAGGGUUCCGUGGAGUCCGAUGAUCUGUUCAGCCUCGUCGUUCGACAUCCUCUCUCUCAAACGCGCUCAAGCACGGAGGGAGAGUCGUCUGGUCUUCCUAAAAUAGCGUUAACUGUACGUGAUUUUUGGAGUUAAUUGUUCAAAUGUUCACUGAACUUUGACCCAUAUUUUCUAUUGGUUACUAAAAUUUAAAAUAUCAAAUUUUGAUAGUCUAUUGAGUGCACUCACUGUUCAAGAAUCUAUCUCUAAUAGUUCUUCCUUACUUAGCCUUAAAGCUACUCUAAAGCGGUAGAAUAAGAAUUGAGUGCACUCACUACUCAGGAAUCUAUCUCUAAUAGUUCUUCCUUGCUUAGUCUUAAAGCUACUCUAAAGAGGUAGAAUAAGAACUAAGGAGCUUUAAGAAGGAGGGGGGUGUCUGAGAUUCUUUAUUUAAUACCUCAAGAAGAG